CAGGAGACCAAGCUUGUAGGCCACUUCCUGGGGCAGGUGCACUCCAUGGACGGGGUCCACAACACCCCCUGUGGCCAGCUGGACUUGCAGGAGAGGAAAGGCCUCACUUUGGGUUACAAGCCCCUUCUCCAUGGCCUGCCACAGAGAAAGGGAACCUCCUGAAAAGGGGUCUGAGUACCCUGUCACAGCCUUUUCAACCUGCCUCAGAUGUUCACUCUGCUCCAUGCCCACCAGGCCAGCCUUCACUGCACCCUCCACUGACAAUCUCUGGUUGGUUAGCGGAUUGACGAGGAAGCCAGAUGCCACCUGGGCCUCCAGCAGCUGCUGGCCCAGACCUGUGGGCAGGAGGCCAUCUCUUACAGCCUGGGCAAUGCUCAACUUGGUCCCCGAGGGCUGGAGCAGCACCCCGGCCACACAGCCCGUACCCCAGAGGCAGACCUUCACCGUAGGCUGUUUGGCUACCUCAUCGGGAGACUGCAUGCCCUGUGCCAGUGCUUCCAGCGUCUCUUGGGUGAUAAUACCAGCAUCUCGUAGCCAAGUGGCAGGGACCUCGCCCCGUGGGCCUGGCACAGUGAUGCGGGCCCGGGCCAGGAGUUUCGCUGAGUGCACCCAGCUGCGCACAGUGUUCUGUAGCUGUGGCACAGAAAUCUUCCCAACCUUCACAUCCUCGAGGUAGCCGCGGCGCUGUUCCUCGGUAAAGUGGCAAGAGCUGAGUGACCUGCUCCAGUGUGAUCUUGCGCUGCCGAUAACGUUGCAGGAGCUGCCUCCUCCGGUCCUCUGUGAAAUAUUCAGAGUUAACCAGCUCCCACGCAGAAACUCUCUGCCCCCGGAACCGUCCAUAUUUCACGGAGAGCAGUAGCUUCUGGAAGGCCUGCCGAGUGGAGCUAUCCACCAGCUGGGGUCGUGUACUACUGAGGGGCAGGAGGUGCAGGCCUGUCUCGGAGUCAUGUACACAGCGCUCCAGGAGCUGCAGGUACCUCUGCACGGAGUCCAGGCUGCCCACAUCUUGGGCUGAGGUCUGUCCACGUUCCAACUGCUCAAACAGGUCCUGAUUGAUUAUCUCAGCUUUCAACAACUCUCCUGGUGUCACGGUGUCCCUCAACCCAGCAAAGGUGACUUUGGCAGUUGCGGCAGCCUGCUCAACAAUGUUCUUCAGCUCAGCUGCCAGCUCCUCCACGGACAGAGCCCCUUCCUGGUGCCGCUGGGCAAGCAUUGCCCUCUUCUUAACGGGCACUGACUCAGAAAAGAGCAGUUCCCAGAGGGAGACAGGCCUGCCCUGGUACCUCCCUACAGAGAUGGAGGUUGUAGCCUUGCUCAAGGCCUGUCGAGUACAGUGAUCAAUAAAUGUGGGUCCCUGGGGCUCAUUUGCGUGGGACAUUCCAGGGAGAGGCAGGAAG
rnacentral:lncRNA from 1 species